UACGGGGGAUGCAAGCGUUAUCCGGAAUUAUUGGGCGUAAAGCGUCCGUAGGCGGCGAGUCAAGUCUGCUGUUAAAGAGUGCAGCUUAACUGCAUAGAGGCGGCGGAAACUGACUAGCUAGAGUGUGGUAGGGGUAGAGGGAAUUCCCGGUGUAGCGGUGAAAUGCGUAGAUAUCGGGAAGAACACCAGUGGCGAAGGCGCUCUACUGGGCCACAACUGACGCUGAUGGACGAAAGCUAGGGGAGCGAAAGGG
rnacentral:rRNA from 1 species